GGGGCCAUAGCUCAGCUGGGAGAGCGCUUGAAUGGCAUUCAAGAGGUCGUGAGUUCGAUCCUCAUUGGCUCCACCA
rnacentral:tRNA from 1 species